rnacentral:sRNA from 1 species
CCAUAUAAUGCAGAGGACAUGGAAACAUAUCUACAAUACUCAUCUUAAGCCCAAAAUAAUGAGCCUUCAUUUAAAUGACAUGGAACAUAGAAGUAUUAUUAGGGUUAAUUUAAUGAAUGACCAAAUUUGAUAUCCUUAUUAAGAGAAUGACCUUCUCACAGAAAAGUUGGGUAUAUAACGUUUUUUUAGCAUGCGAAAUAUCCGAUAUAGCCUCUACGGAUGGGCGGUAAAACCAUAUUUCCGACAGCAGACUUGUAGAUGUAGGGGAGCUAGAGAUUGUACGCCAAUGAUUACAACGUAUCAAAAAAAAAAAUGCAUGCAUUACUUAUGCAGUUACUACUAAAUAAAGCAUGAACUAUUUAUGAGUGUAGAUCUCAAUUUAGAGCUUUCAUUACUACAACUUUCUAAGUUUGUACUGAACGUUUCAUAAAAUACAUGCAAUUUACAACUGUAACAGCAUGUGGUAUGAAAGGAUUUAUUUCAAUU